rnacentral:rRNA from 1 species
CAAAGCUAUGACGGGUACGGGUCAUGAGAGUGAUUGCCCGGAGAUGGAUUCUGAGACAUGAAUCCAGGCCCUACGGGGCGCAGCAGGUGCGAAAACUUCUCAAUGGGCGAAAGCCUGAAGAGGGAACCUUGAGUGAUAUCGGCUAAGCUGAUAUCUUUUCUCAAAUGUAAACAGUUUGUGGAAUAAGUGGUGGGCAAGACGGUUGCCAGCCGCCGCGGUAAUAACCGCGCCACGAGUGGUAGUCACGAUUAUUGGGUCUAAAGCAUCCGUAGCUGGUUCGACAAGUCCUCGGUGAAAUCCGACAGUAAACUGUCGGGCGUGCCGAAGAUACUAUCAGACUAGAGACUGGGAGAGGUAUGGAGUACUUCGGAGGUAGGGGUAAAAUCCUUUAAUCUCCGAGGGACUACCUGUGGCGAAGGCGCCAUACUAGAACAGAUCUGACAGUGAGGGAUGAAAGCUAGGGGAGCGAUCGGGAUUAGAUACCCCGGUAGUCCUAGCCGUAAACGAUGCCCGCUUGGUGUUGCAGUUUCUUAGUGAAACUGCUGUGCCGUAGUGGAGACGUUAAGCGGGCCACCUGGGGAGUACGACCGCAAGGUUGAAACUUAAGGGAAUUGGCGGGGGAGCACUACCAGGGGUGGAGGCUGCGGUUCAAUUGGAUCAACGCCGG